AUGAAUCUCAAGACUGCCAUCUCAGCCACUAACUUCAUUUUAAUCUAAGGGUCAAAAAUUAUUUGGUUUUGUCUCCUCCUUCUUCCGAGAUUUUCUUUCUUCUUUCUUCUUUCUCCACAUUCAUUUCUUCUGCAAACAGAAGACAUCUCUCGUUUAGUUGUUUCUUUCUCUUCCUUUCUCAAACACAAAUGGACGAGUACAGAUUGAUCGGAGAAUCCAGUCAAACAUAUGUCUCAAGAACUGGAUUCUGGCGGAGAAGUGGUGCCAUAUGCGGCGGAGGAACUGAGAUCCAGGCGAGUCAUCUGAUGGAGUUGGCGCCGUUGCCUAAAGGUUGAAGAAUCGAAGAACGAGAAGCAGAAGGUGGAGGAAGAAGAAAAGACGGCGUGAAAUAGUGUGUACGAGCGCGACGCCGCGUUUGGUGGAAACGGAGCAACACGACGGCCCUUCAGCUCCAAGAGACUAUCCAAGACAUAGGUUUAGGUUCCUCAUGGCGGCGCAAGAGACUAUCCAAGACAUAGGUUUAGGUUAUUAUUUUUAUUUUUUUGUCGACUGUGGUUUAGGUUAUUUUUAAACCAGUUUGUAAACCAGAUAUCAUUUGUAAACCAAUUUAAAAUUGUAAACCGAAAAUACUAUUGGUAAUAAAAUAAUUUGUUUUGGCUA